UUAAUUGUCAAUAAUGUUGCAACACAGGC
rnacentral:sRNA from 1 species